rnacentral:rRNA from 1 species
AGCGAACGCUGGCGGCAGGCCUAACACAUGCAAGUCGAACGGACCCUUCGGGGUUAGUGGCGGACGGGUGAGUAACACGUGGGAACGUGCCUUUAGGUUCGGAAUAGCUCCUGGAAACGGGUGGUAAUGCCGAAUGUGCCCUUCGGGGGAAAGAUUUAUCGCCUUUAGAGCGGCCCGCGUCUGAUUAGCUAGUUGGUGAGGUAAUGGCUCACCAAGGCGACGAUCGGUAGCCGGCCUGAGAGGGCGGACGGCCACACUGGGACUGAGACACGGUCCUUACACCUACGGGUGGCUGCAGUCGAGAAUAUUCGACAAUGGGCGAAAGCCUGAUCGAGCGACGCCGCGUGCAGGAAGAAGUCCUUUGGGAUGUAAACUGCUUUUGCGUGGGAAAAACUUUGAUUGUACCACGAGAAUAAGAGGUUGCUAACCUCGUGCCAGCCGCCGCCGUAAUAC